CCCAAGCGUAUGGCUGUUCGCCAUUUAAAAGGGUACGCGAGCUGGGUUCAAACCGUUAAGGAACAGAAUGAAGUUUCUAGAUUUAAGAUGUAUGAAUCAAUUCGGUUUUUUAACAGUUUGAACCCAAGGAAUAAGACAUCAAAUACGGCGGCAUCUCGCAGAAAUGCGAGACGAAAAGUUAACUCAUAUCGGUGAAGUCCCUUAGAACAUUUUUCAAAAAAAUGUUCGGGCGAACAAUUCGCAGCGAAUUGUUCUAGCCUCAAGAUCUUGUAGAAUCAUUAGGGGAUAAUACCGAGGGAAGCAUAGCGAAUUUCAUUGAGGAUGCGCUCCUCAAUAGUGUGGGCGGAAGCUCGAAGCCAAUGAUGCGUGUGUGCGCAAGGCGUCAACGGCCAAUAGGGAGCACUGGUGAAAGCCAGAGGCGGAGGCGCAAGUCCUCCACGACCCACCCGAUAGGUGAAUCAAUUGAUUCGCCUCCUCAAUGAAAUUCGUUAUCGCACCCGUAGAGACUAAACGUUAACCCCCUAAAUCAUUUUGCGUCGCAAAAUGAUCGGGUGAAAUUAUAGUCCGAUGCACAUAGUAAUAUGUGGAAUUAUGUCAUCUGCCAGGAGCAGAUGAAUUACAUGCGUGAGACAGGUUGGUCUCCUAUCUACUGCAGGCGUCUAUACUUGCGAGGAGUCUUCCUUUGUACGAGAGGAUCAGGAAGAACGAACCUCUGGUGUAUCGGCUGUCGCGCCCGCGGCAUCGCCGAGUAGCUAUUGUUCGGUCGGGAUAACCGCUGAAAGCAUAUAAGCGGGAAGCCCACCUCAAGAUUAGGUAUAUUCAAUCCGUGAGAGAUGAUCACGUUGAUAGGCCGCAGAUGGAAGCCGAGUAAUCGGUUGAGUCAAGCGGUACUAAUGGAUUGGUCG
rnacentral:rRNA from 1 species